UACGUAGGGUGCGAGCGUUAAUCGGAAUUACUGGGCGUAAAGCGUGCGCAGGCGGUUUUGUAAGCCAGAUGUGAAAGCCCCGGGCUCAACCUGGGAAUGGCAUUUGGGACUGCAAGGCUGGAGUGUGGCAGAGGAGACUGGAAUUCCUGGUGUAGCAGUGAAAUGCGUAGAUAUCUGGAGGAACACCGGUGGCGAAGGCGGCAUCCUGGACCGGUAUUGACGCUGAGGAGCGAAAGCCAGGGGAGCAAACGGG
rnacentral:rRNA from 1 species